rnacentral:rRNA from 1 species
AUUGAACGCUGGCGGCAUGCCUUACACAUGCAAGUCGAACGGUAACAGGUCUUCGGAUGCUGACGAGUGGCGAACGGGUGAGUAAUACAUCGGAACGUGCCCGAUCGUGGGGGAUAACGAAGCGAAAGCUUUGCUAAUACCGCAUAAGAUCUACGGAUGAAAGCCGGGGACCGCAAGGCCUUGCGCGAACGGAGCGGCCGAUGGCAGAUUAGGUAGUUGGUGGGAUAAAAGCUUACCAAGCCGACGAUCUGUAGCUGGUCUGAGAGGACGACCAGCCACACUGGAACUGAGACACGGCCCAGACUCCUACGGGAGGCAGCAGUGGGGAAUUUUGGACAAUGGGCGAAAGCCUGAUCCAGCCAUGCCGCGUGCAGGAUGAAGGCCUUCGGGUUGUAAACUGCUUUUGUACGGAACGAAAAGACUCUGGUUAAUACCUGGGGUCCAUGACGGUACCGUAAGAAUAAGCACCGGCUAACUACGUG